AAUACAUUGGACUCCGUGGGUGCUACAGAAAUGAAAUGUGCUUUGCUGUGUCUGUGCUGAGAGUUCAAGAUGUAUUUUUUGAUAUCAUUAUCAGUCUAGAGAGUGGUGAGCCCUGAGUGCCCCCAACUUUGCUAUGAAGACCAAGGCACUGUGGAAUUGUGUGUCUACGUUUGGAAAGUCAGCUUGUGCCUAAAUGGAUUUUGAAGAUAUCAGGCAUUCUAGGAUUGAGAAUGAGAAUUCCUUUUGUUACAACAGGCAAGAGUAAGAGCCAAUAAAUAAAAGAAUGCUACAUUUUAA